UUUUUUUUUUUUUUUUUUUUUUUUUUUUGAGACGCCAUUUUGCUCUUGUCGCCCAGGCUGGAGUGCAAUGGCGUGAUCUUGGCUGCAACUCUGCCUCCCGGGUUCAAGCACUUCUCCUGCCUCAGCCUCUCGGGUAGCUGAGAUUACAGGCGUGCACCACCAUGCCCUGCUAAUUUUGUAUUUUUAGUAGAAACAGGGUUUGACCAUGUCGGCCAGGCUGGUCUCGAACUCCUGACCUCAAAUUAUUUGGAAACCGUCAUAUUGAGUGUGCAGGAGGGAGAAUUCUGCCAGUUUGAAAUGCAGUUUGGCCGCUUCUUUACUCUGUGAUAAUAUUGUGUGUGUCGGCGAGGGUUGCCUAGCAAGUUACCACAGACCAGGGUUGGGGGAGGGUCUUAACCAACAGACGCACAUAUCCUCGCAGUUCUGAAGGAUAGAAAUCAGAGACCAAGGCAUGGGCAGAGCCUUCUGAGGCCCUUUGGCUUAUAGAUGGCCGUUCUCCCUGCGUCCUCACAUGGUCGUCCCUCUGUGCAUGUCUGUGCCCUAAUCUCUUCUUUGUAUGAAGACACCAGUCCCAUUGGAUUAGGGUCUACUCAUCUGACCUCAUGUUAACUUAAUUACCUUUUUGAAGGCCCUAUCUCCACAUACAGUUGCAUUCUGACGUACCAGCGGUCAGGACUUCAGUAUAUGAAUUUUGGGGAGACAAUUCAGCUGAUAACAAUUGUAUUAGUCUGUUCUCACACUGCUACAAAGAAAUCCCCAAGACUGGGUAAUUUAUAAAGGAAAGAGGUUUCACUGACUCACAGUUCCACAUGGCAGGGGAGGCCUCAGGAAGCUUACAGUUAUGGCGGAAGGGGAAGCAGUCAUCUUCUUCACAAGGCGACAGGAGAGAGAGGGCAUGCAAAAAAGAGGAAGUGCCACACUUUAAAACAGUCAGCUCUCAUGAGAAUUCACUAUCAUGAGAAGAGCAUGGGGGAAUCGUCCCCACGAUCCAAUCACCUCCCUCCCUCAACACAUGGGAAUUACAGGGCCCUCCCUCAACAUGCGGGGAUUACAAUUAGAGGUGAGGUUUGGGUGGGGACACAGAGACAAACCAUAUCAACAGUGAUAGCAUUAUGUAAUAAUAAUAACAACAACAACUUCCAGAGAUAGCUGUGUUGCAGGCACUGUCCUAAGUUCUUACAUAUAUUAUUUCAUUAAUCUUCUAGGACAACAGUCCUAAAAGAGAGGUCCUAUUUUACAGAUGAGGAGCCCAAAAACGAGCUUAGGGUCACGCACAGCUAGAAUGUGCGAUUUGAACCCAGGCAAGCUCAAGGCUCUUGGUCAAUCCAUGCAAGGAGAGAAAGGAAAAAGAAGAGAGCAGGGAGGAAGAAGGGAAGGAUACCAGGGACCGCAGUACAGAAAGGCUGGGUUUCCUGCUACUACAGUGGGUGGGGCUCAAGCAACCAAACAUAUAUAUUUUUUUUUAAUUCUAACCAUACUCACCAACCCUAAAUUAGUACACUAUUUUUUAUGCGUGUCCUUAUGUCCUAGAAUAUGGAGUCAAACUGGUUUUUGUUGUGGUGGUAGUUUUUGAGACAGAGUCUCACUCACUCUGUCGCCCAGGCUGGAGUGCAAGGGCAUGAUCUCGGCUCACUGCAACCUCCACCUCCCAGGCUCAAGCGAUCCUCCUGCCUCAGCCUUCAGGGUGGCUAGGAUUACAGGCGCACACCAGCAUGCCCAGCUAAGUUUUGUAUUUUUAGUAGAGAUGGGGUUUCACCAUGCUGGCCAGGCUGGUCUCAAACUCCCGACCUCAGAUGAUCCACCCUCCUCGGCCUCCCAAAGUGCUGGGAUUACAGAUGUGAGCCACAAUGUCUGACCUACUGCAAACUGUUUCAUAACUAGCUUUUCACUUAACAAGAUGUCAGCUUACUUCCAUGCCAUUCCUUUGAAACAUACUAUUUAGUGGCUGCAUUGUAUUCAGCUGUAUGGGUGCACCAUUAUUUAGUCAAUCCACAUUCAUUGGACAUUUGUGUUCUUUCCU
ensembl:lncRNA